UCAGAUUGAUGAAUACAAAUCUCCAUCCAAAAUGGCGAGUUCAAAAGAGGAUGUCAGAACAAAACCUGCCAGGCAUCUUGAGGUAUGUAGCUCAGACAUUCUUCAAUUUCUUCAUCUUCGAAGGCGGCCAUCGGCCCUUCUUCCUCAGCCUUCGCUUCCUAACGAGCCGCUUCCUCCGGAGCCGUAUCUUCUUCGCCAAUUUCAUCCUCAACUUCUGCUCCGCCUUCUCCUGCAGCUUCGACUCCAAGGGCAGCUUGUCAACUGGCGCGGCCUCUUCCUUGUUCUGUGAUGGAGACGGAGCCUCACCGCCAUCGGUUGGCCCUGCUCCCUCGGCAUUGGAAUCAGCCCUCACAAUUAGCGAACCCCUCCUUUCAUUCGGAUA
rnacentral:lncRNA from 1 species